UACAAAUGAAUUGACGGGGCCCGCACAAGCGGAGGAACAUUGUGGUUAAUUCGAUGAUACGCGAGGAACCUUACCUGGGCUUAAAUGCAGAGUGCAUGGAGUGGAAACACUUCUUCCCUUCGGGGCUCUUUGCAAGGUGCUGCAUGGUUGUCGUCAGCUCGUGCCGUGAGGUGUCGGGUUAAGUCCCAUAACGAGCGCAACCCUUAUCGUUAGUUGCCAGCGGGUAAAGCCGGGAACUCUAGCGAAACUGCCGGUGUAAACCGAGAGGAAGGUGGGAUGACGUCAAAUCAGCACGGCCCUUAUGUCCAGGGCUACACACGUGUUACAAUGGCCGGUACAGAGGGCAGCUACCUGGAGACAGGAUGCGAAUCUCGAAAGCCGGUCUCAGUUCGGAUCGGAGUCUGCAACUCGACUCCGUGAAGCUGGAUUCGCUAGUAAUCGCGCAUCAGCCAUGGCGCGGUGAAUACGUUCCCGGGCCUU
rnacentral:rRNA from 1 species